rnacentral:rRNA from 1 species
AGGCCUAACACAUGCAAGUCGAGCGGAUGAAGGGAGCUUGCUCCUGGAUUCAGCGGCGGACGGGUGAGUAAUGCCUAGGAAUCUGCCUGGUAGUGGGGGAUAACGUUCCGAAAGGAACGCUAAUACCGCGUACGUCCUACGGGAGAAAGCAGGGGACCUUCGGGCCUUGCGCUAUCAGAUGAGCCUAGGUCGGAUUAGCUAGUUGGUGAGGUAAUGGCUCACCAAGGCGACGAUCCGUAACUGGUCUGAGAGGAUGAUCAGUCACACUGGAACUGAGACACGGUCCAGACUCCUACGGGAGGCAGCAGUGGGGAAUAUUGGACAAUGGGCGAAAGCCUGAUCCAGCCAUGCCGCGUGUGUGAAGAAGGUCUUCGGAUUGUAAAGCACUUUAAGUUGGGAGGAAGGGCUGUAGGCUAAUAUCCUGCGGUUUUGACGUUACCAACAGAAUAAGCACCGGCUAACUUCGUGCCAGCAGCCGCGGUAAUACGAAGGGUGCAAGCGUUAAUCGGAAUUACUGGGCGUAAAGCGCGCGUAGGUGGUUCGUUAAGUUGGAUGUGAAAGCCCCGGGCUCACCUGGGAACUGCAUCCAAAACUGGCGAGCUAGAGUACGGUAGAGGGUAGUGGAAUUUCCUGUGUAGCGGUGAAUGCGUAGAUAUAGGAAGGAACACCAGUGGCGAGGCGACUACCUGGACUGAUACUGACACUGAGGUGCGAAAGCGUG